rnacentral:rRNA from 1 species
CUGCCCGGUGACUAAAAGUUAAACGGCCGCGGUACCCUAACCGUGCAAAGGUAGCACAAUCACUUGUUCUUUAAAUUAGGACUAGUAUGAAUGGCCUCACGAGAGCUAUACUGUCUCCCCACUUCAAUCAGUGAAACUGAUCUCCUCGUGAAGAAGCGAGGAUAUACCUAUAAGACGAGAAGACCCCAUGGAGCUUAAAACUUGUACCACCGCCUACAACUACACCAACAAACCAAGGCAAACUGGCAACUAGUCUUUCGGUUGGGGCGACCACGGAGAAAAAUCAAACCUCCACGAUGAAAGGAAUACCCUAAUUUAAGAGCUACCGCUCUAAAAAUCAAUAAAUUGACAUAAUUGACCCAAACAUUUUGAUCAACGAACCAAGUUACCCUGGGGAUAACAGCGCAAUCCAUUUCAAGAGACCCCAUCGACAAAUGGGCUUACGACCUCGAUGUUGGAUCAGGGUAUCCUAGUGGUGCAGCCGCUACUGACGGUUCGUUUGUUCAACGAUUAAAACCCU